ensembl:snoRNA
AAGCCACCCAAUGAAUCUGCAUGCCUCAAUGUGUUUCUGAGAAAUUUAGAGAAAGCUGGCAAUAUUAAAGUCAUCUUAUGAGCCUUAAAAACACUGAAGUCAUUAUGAUUCCUGAAAGGCUACAAGA